rnacentral:rRNA from 1 species
UACGUAGGGUCCGAGCGUUGUCCGGAAUUAUUGGGCGUAAAGCGCUCGUAGGCGGUUUGUCGCGUCUGCUGUGAAAUCCCGAGGCUCAACGCCGGGCCUGCAUUCGAUACGGGCAGACUAGAGUUCGGUAGGGGAGACUGGAAUUCCUGGUGUAGCGGUGAAAUGCGCAGAUAUCAGGAGGAACACCGGUGGCGAAGGCGGGUCUCUGGGCCGAUACUGACGCUGAGGAGCGAAAGCGUGGGGAGCAAACAGG